GACGAACGCUGGCGGCAGGCCUAAUACAUGCAAGUCGAACGGUAACAUGGAAGUAGCAAUACUUUUGAUGACGAGUGGCGGACGGGUGAGUAAUAUUUGGGAAUCUACCUAUCAGAGGGGGAUAGCAACUGGAAACGGUUGAUAAGACCGCGUACGCUCUGAGGAGGAAAGUAAUGGGAUCGAAAGACCAUUAGCUGAUAGAUGAGCCAAAACGGGAUUAGCUAGUUGGCGGGGUAAGAGCCCACCUGGGCGACGAUCUCUAGCGGGUUUUAGCGAAUGAUCAGCCACAUUGGAACUGAGACACGGUCCAAACUCCUACGGGAGGCAGCAGUAGGGAAUAUUGCACAGUAGAGGGAACUCUGAUGCAGCCAGGCCGCGUGUGUGAAGAAGGCCUUCGGGUUGUAAAGCACUUUAGUUUUCGAGAAAGGGUGCUGUUCAAAUAGGGCAGUAUUCAGAUGUUAGAAAAAGAAUAAGUACCGGCAAACUCCGUGCCAGCAGCCGCAGUAAAAC
rnacentral:rRNA from 1 species